AACGAACGCUGGCGGCAGGCCUAACGCAUGCAAGUCGAACGGGUGUAGCAAUACAUUAGUUGCGCACGGGUGCGUAACACGUGGGAACAUACACUUGAGUAAGGAAUAAUGUCUGGAAACGGACACUAAUACCUUAUAAUGACUUCGGUCCAAGGAUUUAUCGCUCAAGGAUUGGCCCGCGCCUGAUGAGGUAGUUGGUGAGGUAACGGCUCGUCAAGGCUCGGAUCAGUAGCUGGUAUGAGAGGAUGAGCAGCCACACUGGAACGGAGCCACGGUCCGGACUCAUACGGGAGGCAGCAGUGCGGAAUAUUGCGGAAUGGGGGAAACCCUGACGCAGCCCUGCCGCGUGAGUGAAGAAGGCCGUAGGGUUGUAAAGCUCUUUCAGUCGUGAAGAUAAUGACGGUAGCGACAGAAGAAGCCCCGGCUAAAUUCGUGCCAGCAGCCGCCGUAA
rnacentral:rRNA from 1 species